UACUCCAUAGAAUACCCCUCCCAUAGUCCCAUCCCCCGUUCGCCGCAACAGGGUUUGAAGGAGGCCGCCGAGGUCUCCCUCCGACGCGGCGACGCCCCGUCUGCCUCCAUCCACCGCCCUCCCUGAGAUCUCCGCCUGCCACCCAUCCAGGGGUUCCUCCGCCCCCCUCGUCCCCGAGCCCCUCCACCCCCCCUGAACUCCACUCUCCGCUCCAGGCAGCACUGCAGCAGCAAGCAGACCUUGCACCGGAGGUCGGGGAUGAAUCGAGCACCUCUUUGGCGGCAGAAUUUGCAAUUUUGGGCACCUCUGGAAUGCAAUAUAUUCAGCUGGUUGUCAAUGAAGAAUAGGCUGGACUGCUGAUAGGUUGGAGAGGAGGGGGAUGGAUCACACGGCUGCUUACCAGCAAUAUCCCACCUGCUCUCAGGGUGUUCGCUUGCUGCAGCAUCUCACCCAGGCAGCCAAUUACGAUUUAAAGAUCUGGCUAGAAUCUGCGGCUGACACUGGGCAUGGCCAACAGUGUUAGGUCGUCCAUCAUCAUGUGGUGCAUUUAGAAACAUCACAAUGCAUGUGUGUUUGAGUGUGCAAGGCCUGAUUGCGAAGCGCUCAAGGAGGCCAUUCUCAACGAGGCAGCACUUUGGUGGCUGGCUGGAGCUAAGGAGCUCAGGAAGCUGCCGUUGCACACUCGACCCCAUGAGAUCCUGCAACCUAUCACCAUAGCUUAGCCCCUGGUUUACUUCUUCUCUUGUCUUUUUGUUAGGUUAGACUGGCAGUUCCUUUGGAUUGUUUUCUCGUUUCUGUACAGUAGUUGGUUUUUGGUCGCAGCCACGCUGGCAUUUACUUUGCGCCUUCUUGGUGUUUUCUUCUAAUACAAAACGACCCCAAUUUAUGUGUGUAUUUGAGAAAAUUAUCUUCAAAGGUGUUUCUGGAUUUAUGUUUUGAUUUUCUUUUUGGUAUUUCCAUUUGGCUGAUGAGUGGAUGGAGUGAAUCAGAAGGGUAUGCAGUUACAAAGAACCUAUCUAGUAUAGAUGCACAUAAAUAAAGAGAUAUAUUGUUCUGAUGUUUAUAUUGAUUCUGUCAAGCAAGCAUAUAAACCGUUCAGAGUAACUUCUAAAGCUUUGAAACAGCAGACAGUAGAUGUGCAUUUCUAUUUACAGUAGUAACAUGGAUGAAGAACACCAUGACUGUUAUCAUACUACCGUCGUCCUUCUAUAUAAUAUUACCAAGAUGUUUUUCUUUUUCAGAAUUUUAGAACUUCACAUCAACAGCUAUCUGUACUACCCGCUGUGCGGCAACAAUAUCCUUUAACACCAAGCUUCUCGGUGUGGAAACUGGAAAACAAGACGAGCUAGGAAGUAUUACUCAGACGCAAGGAAAUUCGCCCACUGGAACAAACUGCUUCCGUCAUUGCCCAGAAAAGGUGGGUGCUCAGAUUGGAAUUGCCGCGGUGGCGAUGGCGAUCCGACACUAUUGGUGGAUGGCCACAGCCCACAGCGGCUGUGGGGUUCUGCCUCGUUCUGGUGCUCUUAGAUGGCAACCUCCACCUUGACUCGCGUAUAAGCACCAUUUAGCGAGCUACAGUAUUGAGCUCUUGUAAUUGAUGAAAUAGCAUGUGUUAUGUUUCCAAAAAGAGGUAAGUAACAAAGAGUUGCAAUCUGGAUCCUACUUAGCAUCAUAGACCCCGGAUGCUUGUUGAUAUUACAUGGUUUAAAGCUGAUAUUUUGAUUUGGCUCUUUGUGAUGUUGAUGUGUUACAGUAUGAACUUCUAAGAGAUGAUGCACCAUGUUGGAUGAUCAAUUUUUCAGGUUUGAUGUAUCAUGGUUCCCCUUUGCUGCUACCGGUUCUUGAUCCGUUGACCAGCAAAAGGUUAGGUGCACACGAUGCCCAUAUGUAUUGGAGGUAAAUAAGUUGAUUUGUAGCUGCUAUGAUCAUUCAAUCAACUGGGCUGACUCCAAAUGGUACGCAACAGACGCCGGAAGUAUCUCGACCUCAUAAAAUCAGUAAACAGAUCAGGUGUGCCAUAACAGUUAACACUAUGUUGUUUCCCGUCACUCCACUUGAAAUGUGCUGUAAGCCUUCCAUGAAUCUUGAGCUAAUUUUGCCUUUUUUUUGGCACUGCUCUUCUAGUUGUUUUAGCAAUCACCACACAUAGCUCCUGACAACAUUUCUUUGAGUUUUUUAUACUUAUAACUUACAAACUGCAAAAGUGAAAUUUUUAAGAUGCUUUAUUCACAUAGGUAGCGUUGUCAUUCUUAAGUUUCAUAUUUUCUGAAAGGAAAACCACUUUCGUGUCUUCUCCUUUAUAAGGAACGAAAGGGUUAUAGACUUGCCUCUUUGUAUUUAAGGUGUAUAGUCCUCUGCUUGAUAGUAUUUAAGGUGUAUAGUCCUCUGCUUGAUAGUGCUAAUAUCAUGUUGACCUCAGUCUGGCUCAUUAGGACAGGCUGAGAUAGGUUGGUCAGUCUGAGGUAUUGAGAUCUGUGGUGUUGUUUGGUUGGUUGCAAGUGAUGCGAUUAAAAAAAAUACUGGAAAUAAAUAUAAUAUUAAAGAAUAAAUUAAUCUGUGUAAAAAUGCUUAAUACGUGCUAAUCACCAAAAGGAUCACAUACUUAGCACGAACUCUGAGGUCGUAUCUGGAAGCAGCUAAAAUUGUUCUUCUCCCACUUCCAGUCCAAUGGAAUUUGAUCUUGCCUGGCUGGCUCAUGCAUCCUAUACAACAAAUCAUUGUCAGCAUGCCUUGGAGCUUGUGCUAGUUUAGGUGGCUCAUGUAGCCCAGGCAACGACCAAUCAUCCCCUUAAUAUUUGGAUGCUUUCUGCUUGUGAUUGCUUACUACUUGUUAUGCUGCUACUUAUCAUUUUAUUUAUACUGUUGCAGUUAACUAAGCACAUGAGAUAUUGCUUCUCUAAUAUAUCUGUGGAAUCCUUGGGCAAUAAUCAUUUGUGUGGGUUCAUGUUCAUCAUCAAUUGAGAAUUGAAUGAUUGUGAUAAUGAUCUACGGCUAGUUUUUUUAUCUCUCAUUUUACUUUUGUUCCUUGGCCUUUCACCUGGCAAAUCAUCAGUUAGCAACAUUUUCAUGGUAGAUAGUAUAUCUUCGAGUAAACUAGAAUUGCCCAAGUAUGACGCUAAUUCAAAUUUCUUUACAAUUUUGAGGUCUAACGCCUUUUGCUGCCUUUGGAGACGUUAUGGCCACACAUUUUUCACUUUAUCUUGCCAUUCUCAUUCUACCGGUAUGUGCCGCCGAUGUUUAUUUUUUAUUUCAAAUGUUCAAUUAUGCGUGUCUGCGUUGCUGGUCACUAAAACUAUUAGUUUCAGAUCACUCUUUUAUUGAGUUAUGGUCCAGAUACUCCUCCAGUAAAAGUAUUUAUUCUAAAAGCUCGAGCACCAGUAAAGUUGACUUUUCAGAUAGUGAAAAAAGUACUAGCCGAAGCAGUUUUGGACAAUUCUCAUGUAAAUCAGUACUCCACUUCAUAUUGUGUGUAUUUAUCUGUCAUGUUAUGUGUUUUUAUUGAGCAGCCUAAUUCUGAAUAAAGUGGGUGGCCUUCAGGAGAUAUUUGAAAACUAAGAUGCUUAACUGUUAUUAGCCUUGAUUCAUGUGAAAAUGUGCAGUAAUUUGUGUUAAGACUUUUCCCCACUGAAGAUGAGUUUUUAAAGGAGAAACAAAUACAAAUUUGUUUAUGAAUUCAAUUUUGGAUAUUAGGUACUGUGAUCAGCAUUUCGCCUAUCCUCUCCAACAUGCCAACUUCGUUGUUGGGCCUCACUUCGUACAAAGUCAUAUUAGGCUGCAAUAGACUGGCUUUUAUCUGUCAUCAAACCCCUAUUGACUUGUGCUGUGAUUCUGCAGGACUUACUGUUUUGUCCUUACAGUGAGGGACUUAUCACCUAAUAUUGUAGUGCUAUGGCAAGUCUUGGCAAAAAUUAGAACCCGGGUAUAUUUUGAUUGAUCUCAUGCAUUUGAGAAUUAAUGCAGAUAUUUCUUUGCUGAAGUCUUUGCCUUUUCCAAUAGUAUUUAAUAUGAACAUUAUUUUCAUGGUCUUACCGGCCUUCCGUCUGAAGCAUUGUUGUGCUUCCUUGCCUUUGUUUACACAGCAAUUGUCACGAUGUUGAGAUCUUAUCCAUCAGUGAGUACAUUUUACGUUUUUUAGGCCCUCGGCUGCAAACGGUUAAUGUUUAUAUUUUUAUUUAUGUUUUGCUCUCCUGUUAUUACUCUCGAAUCCAUGCAUAUCUUGAAGGAAGGAGACUCCGCUUUAUAUCUAGUACUUCUGAGCCUAUUCGCCAACGAAUUAGCAGGCAACUAAAAUUUCGUAUAAACUAUUUUUUAAUUACUCUCUGGUAUCCUGGGAUGUUAAUUCUUGCAGAGAUGCAGUUCACUUUCUUCCAGUUUUUCGGGUAUAUUGGUGUCUCUUUCCUUGUCAUGCACAACCUAUGGAUCUGGAGGGUCUCUUUCCCCCUCCCUCCUCCGGUCCUUCCUCUCUUCCACCCUACACACAUGUAGCAUACUGUUACUAGCAUGACAAUUUUUACAGACUGGUAUUGCAAACUUCUACUUUGCCACAGGUUUAGCUUAUACCUGCCUUCAGGUAACUAAUACUCCUUUUUGUUAGCACACAUCCAUUGCUCCAGUCCUGGCAAUUCCAGCAAACACUUCAGCUCAAAAUACAUCAACUCACCACAGGUUUGAAUGUGUGCUGAGUGCCUGAGUGGUUGUAUUAUGUAUUACUCAGUACUUGCCUAAACAUUAUACAUGUCAUCUUCCACAUCUAUAAAUUAUUGCUUGCCUUCUUUUAUUUUUUGCAGACUGUGUUGGCUAUAGAGUGUAGGUUCAAUGAUAAAACAUGGCAGGAAACUAAGAUGACUUGUAAAAGCUUAGCUUCAUUCCUCAGAAGUUCAAGAUCUCAGAUUCUUUUCUUCCUUGCGCUUUCGGAUGCGAAGAUACAAAUGAUUUGUUAUUCUAGGAUUUUGCGUAGAUACAGUCCAUAAUUUCUUUAGCCGUUUAUCCCUGUAACUAAUUGUAGUCUGUACUGAGCUUUUCCAUGGAUCCUGUGCUUACUACUUUGUCUGAUCUGGCAUGGUGAAAUUAAUCCUUUGGUACAAUGUGUACCAUCAGUUUGUCA